GUGGGGAAUCUUCCGCAAUGGACGAAAGUCUGACGGAGCAACGCCGCGUGAGUGAUGAAGGUCUUCGGAUUGUAAAGCUCUGUUAAUCGGGACGAAAGAGCCUAGUGUGAAUAAUGCUAGGAAGUGACGGUACCGGAAUAGAAAGCCACGGCUAACUACGUGCCAGCAGCCGCGGUAAUACGUAGGUGGCAAGCGUUGUCCGGAAUUAUUGGGCGUAAAGAGCGCGCAGGCGGAUCUGCCAGUCUGUCUUAAAAGUUCGGGGCUUAACCCCGUGAUGGGAUGGAAACUACAGAUCUAGAGUAUCGGAGAGGAAAGUGGAAUUCCUAGUGUAGCGGUGAAAUGCGUAGAUAUUAGGAAGAACACCAGUGGCGAAGGCGACUUUCUGGACGAAAACUGACGCUGAGGCGCGAAAGCCAGGGGAGCGAACGGGAUUAGAUACCCGAGUAGUCC
rnacentral:rRNA from 1 species